CCUACGGGGGGCAGCAGUAGGGAAUUUUCGGCAAUGGGGGGAACCCUGACCGAGCAACGCCGCGUGAACGAAGAAGUUAUUCGUAAUGUAAAGUUCUGUGAUGGGGGAUGAACACAAUGACGGUACCCCACUCGCAAGCCACGGCUAACUACGUGCCAGCAGCCGCGGUAAUACGUAGGUGGCAAGCGUUAUCCGGAAUGACUGGGCGUAAAGGGUGCGUAGGUGGUUUAGUAAGUUGGCGGUGUAAUUCCGGGGCUCAACCUCGGCGCUACCGCCAAAACUAUUAGACUAGAGUGCAGGAGGGGUAAGUGGAAUGCCUAGUGUAGCGGUGGAAUGCGUAGAUAUUAGGAGGAACAUCAGGGGCGAAGGCGACUUACUGGACUGUAACUGACACUGAGGCACGAAAGCGUGGGGAGCAAACAGGAUUAGAUACCCCUGUAGUC
rnacentral:rRNA from 1 species